AAUGGCGAAGUUUCACAGGAGAGAGGCAGGCUUUCCCUGUGCAUGUCAUAUCCACCAGGGCCAAGAAAACCCGGGAAACCACGUCAUUCUAUUUACCUUUCAAUUGCUUGGCCCUGCAGCCUUUCCCAUGCAAGAAAUUUUACAUGAAGCACCGAAGGUGCAAACAGGAAUUGUGUUUUGCGUCAUUAAAUCCCGAUUGCUGUGCUUUUGCAGGGAUCAAGGCAUAACCUCAAGCCAGAAUAAAGACCCCUGGUAAUGUCGCCAGCCUGUCUGCCUCUCUGGAUUUAUAUGACAGGGGAAGGACAUGCGGCUUGAAGAUGGGGAGAAGCUGUUGAAUCCAGAUAGGUCCUGUACACCUGCACUCUUGUAGCCACUACCGCUGGGACCUGUUUUUACCAUCAGUUUUAUCAAGCACUGUAAAACUGUCAACAUAGAUGUAAUGAGCCAUGCAGAUGUAAUGAAUCAUCACAUCAGGUUAACACAUGCAAGAGAUGGAAUGUUAAACACAAGUGAAAAUUCAAAGGAAAGAAGAAGGAUCCCCACAGUCAAGAAUUCCUGUUCCCUCAUCAAUUUUUCUUCAUAUGGUUUGUAUAAAAUUAGGACCUCAGAAAGUCAACAUUUCCUGUGAAUUCAAGAGACUGGGCAGAGCCCAACCCAACAGGAUUAGGCAAUGAAAACCAGCUGGAGAACAGAUAUGUUAUGAUGUCCUUGGCCAAGCUACUGUUAUGUGUAUGUGUAACAUAUAUGAUGUUUAGUGAGAGCCCAGCUUCAUUCUUUAGUGUGUGAAUAUCCUUUGCCCUGACACCAUUUCUUGAACAAUACUCUUCUUUCUCCCUAGUGAAUCACCUUGGCACCUUUGCUGCCUACCUUUAUUGAUCUCUAAUUUUUCACAUCCAUAUGUUUCCUAAAGCAUGAAGGCUGUGAAUUCCUUGGGUUUGCUGACCUAGUGUUAAGACGUAUGUAUGUCCCACCCUCAGUACCUGGCAGGGUGCUGAAUCUGCAGUGGGUACUUAGUAAAUACUUGAAUUGAAGAUAUCCAAGGGCUAAAGGAAAUAAGUCAAAGGUUAUUGCAGAGUUAAUGUUUAUAAACUUCCUCCUGCAAUGAAAUAUCUCAUCUCAUAGUUUUGGAAAUGCUGAAAUAAUUAAUAUUUGGAAAAUGAUUUGAAUUUGAAUUAAUAUUCUAUUAAAAGUAAUUUCUAAAUCACUAUAUUUACAUAUAUUACCAUGCUAUUUUCAAUAUAUGGAGUCAACUUUCAUAUGCAUUCUUAUUUUGGUAUAGUAUAUGCAAUUAAUUACAUUUUUUCCUAUUCUGUCCUUUGUUGUAAAUCCACUAGCCAAAUAUUCAAUGGAAAGUUUUACUAAUGAUUCAAUAUUUUAAGCCAAAUAAACCACCUGUACACAUCAGUGCAAAUAAAAAGGAACUAGUUAUAAACAUCGUGCCCCUUUACUCCUUGUAGCUCUCUUUUAGAUACUACAUUCACGUUGCCAAAUUUAGAGAAUUUGAGAACUAGAAAAAGAAAAAACAGGCUUCCGCCUGACCUACAAACAUAAAACCUUUUUUAAAAAAGUUCUGGUUUUCUGCCAUUAAAUGAAUAUUAAGUUAAUCUAAUCUGAGACUUAUUUUUUAGUUAACGUUUGCAAAUAAGUCUUUAAAAAUGCAAAUUAUAUAAUUGACUCUUGGGUUUUUCCUGUCCUUUUCUUUCAUCUUAUUAAUCCUGCAUGAAACCUCAUAUAUGUCUUUCAGAACAUUGAAUUUAACUGGAUAUGUUCCUAAGUAAAGAAAACAAGGCUCCACAUAAGGAUGUAACACAAUUGUUCUGGAAAAAAUUUGGAAAGAAGUUUGAGAUAUUAAGUCUUCUGUUUUGUUCUUGUUCCUGGAUGAUUAUCAAAUCUGGAAACUUUGGCUCUCAUUUUUCUGUAUUUUUAAAAGUUGAAAGUAUGCAAAGAUGGAGUCUGAAAAUUCUGUAGGUUAAAAAAAAACACACACACACACACACACACACUAGUAGCUAGUAGAGGUAAUACAGGGAGUUCAGGGUAUUUGUACCUGAAGGCUCAAAAUUCCACUGGUCUACUGACUUAGUUCCUUUUUUGCAACUUAUUUUUUGCAUCUAAAACUCUUUUCAAUGUGCAGAGGGCAAAUGAGGAGGGCAUAAUGAGACACUUUGCCUAUCUCAGGAAAUACAAAUAAAAUUAAGAUCAACGCUAUCCACAUUUGUUAAGACAUUGUUUUAAGAACGUGGGUGUGAAUGUAUCUCACACUUCUUUGGCUAGUAAUGUAAUUACCUUUACAGCCAGUUGAACUGUA